GGGAGGAGGAAGCAUUUACGGAGAGCCUCGCUAAUGCCUGGAAACAGCUGAAUGUCACAUAUUCUCUCAUCCACCUCUCACUAGCUCUGUGAACUUGGUCAGUUCUCUGAGCUAAGAGUUCUGGGUACCUGCAGAGACCUGCCUGAUAUCAUCACCAUAGUGGACCCAGAAGCACUAUUCAAAUUGGAAGCAGUCAAUCCACUUAGAGGAUUAUUGUUGUUAUGUAAAUAAACUCUUUUGACUGAGUGAGCAGAGACUUCCAAGCCAGAGCUGCUUUCCAAAUUAGGUUUCCAUUGUCUCAGGAGGAGAAGAGGCACAGAGGCGUCUCCGAGGGCACUAAUGCUGCCCCUGUCUCUGAGAAAGAGAGUCUCCCGCCAGCUUUCCCUGACAGCGGAGGACCAGAUGCCAGCAAAGUGACCUUCGAACAGAGUGGCCAUUGCAAGGCUGAUGACCCAACACCAGGCCAGAGGAAGGCAUGGAAUCACUUCGGAAGGAAAGGCAGGCAAAGGUCGGGGUGGGGGGAGGGGCGCAAAUGGGCAAUGUCUUGAUAUUGUUAAAAGAUAAACUGAGGCAUAUGAAAAAUUUUAGGAGUUUAUUUGAUUGAAAACCUAUUUGAAUUGGGGUAGUGCCAAACCGGAAGUGGUUGCCCGAUUUGGGAAAGCCUGGUUGGCUGUUUGUGAUUGAUUGUCCUAGGGUUUCAAUUUCUUAACCUUGAGGCAUUACAGGCUGGGGUUUGGGUUCACUUCCAGAGGCAUUAAAAGCCACCUCAGUCUAAUGACCUCAUUGCUUAAUUAAUUUAAAAAUAUGGACAGAAGUAGUUCACUCACAAACUGCCCCCCCCACCCUUUUUAAUUCACACAAAGACACCUACUGAUAAGUCAGAACGCAUUAACCUUAUGGUUAUUAGUGUUUUUUAAAAAGUUUAUUGUAUUUUUAUUUCCAUUUCUCACUUUUUAAAAAAAAACUUUUCUAUAUGAAUAAAAUAAACACUUGUAUUGCCCACCUGCCUCAAAUCACAAGAUCUCAAAACUAGAAGUCAGAAAAAGAGACAAAAAUUUGUGGAAGAAAAAAUAAAGGUGUUUUAAGAGCCCAUCAACACGUUUCCGCUAGACUGAACGUGGUUUUAGCCUUCCCAGGCAAAAAGAACAUCUUUUCUGAGUAAAUUUUGGAAACUUUGUAAUGCCUUUUCUCUUACUUUGGAGAUUCUUCCAGUUUAAGGGCAGGGAGAGCUCUGGCAGUUUGGGGGUGUUUAGUGGAAUGAGAAGUCUAAAGCCACAAGGCGAAGACUUUUGCGGAGGGCCAGCCAGAACCAGAGGAGUGACAGGAAGUACAAAUGAACCUCUGGAUGAGCCCGUGAAGAGAGAAAGGGAGGAAAGAAAAAAGCGUGGGUGUAGGCUCCAGUUGGGUGAGUCCUGCCUGCCUGGCCGAUUGGGGCAAACUGGCCGACUGUGCCUGGCAUAUGGUACCCCUGGCUGGGUUGGUACAGCCAAGAGAUAUAUUUUCCUUGAGCAGCAUCUUUCAAAGUGCGGUUCAGGGUCCACCUACAUCAGCAUGUCCUGGAAGGCUUGUUAAACAUGCUGAUCCUUGUACUUACCUACUGCUACUUCAUCGGCAUAUCUGGGUCUCGGACUGGGGGCUGCGUUUUUUUUUUUUUUUACAGCUUUGUUGAGGUAUAGUUGACUUACAACUUCACAAUUUGAUGAGUUUGGACAUUAUAAUGCAUCUGUGAAAUCAUCACCACAAUCAAGAUCAUGAACAUAGCCAUCACCCCCAAGUUUCCUCCUGCCCCUUUCUAACGCCUUUCUCAUCUCCAUACCUCCCCCCUUCUCUCAUCUCUUGGAUCUGCUGUCUCUGUAGAAUAGCUUGUAAUUUUCUAAAAUUUUAUGUAAAUGGAUUCAUGGAAUACAUACUUUUUGUCUCAUAUCUUUCACUCCUUGAUUUAUCCAUCUGAUAAUAGACUUUGCAGGUGUUUCUGUUUUUUAGCUAUUGUGUAUAAAGCUACUUUGACCAUAUGUGUACGAGUCUUUGUAUGGACAUAGGUUUCAAUUUCUUCUUGGUACAUACCUAGAAAUAGAACAAUUAGAUCGUACAUUAGUUAAAUGUUUAAAUGUUUAAGAAAUUGCCAGACCGUGUUCCAAAGUGGUUGUAACUUAUUACGUUCUUAGCAGUAGUGUAUGAGAGUUCUAAUUCCUCCACACAUUCACAAAAACUUGGUGUCAUCCAUCUUUUUAAUUUUAGCCAUUCUAGUAUGAGUGUAGUGGGAUCUCAGUGUGGUUUAUUUUACAUGUCCUCAGUGACUAAUAAUAUUGAGCAAUUUUUCACGUGCUUAUUUACUUUCUGUAUAUCUUCUUUGGUGAAGUGUUUGUUCAAAUAUUUAUAUUGGGUUAUUUGCCUUCUUAUUAUUGAGUGGUAGAAGUUCUUUCUGUAUUCUAGAUAGAAGUCCUUUGUCAUAUAUAUGUUUUGUGAGUAUUUUCUCCCAGACCAUGGCUUUCUUUUCGUUUUCUUUGACUUGCUUUGGUAUUGUUGUCAAAAAUCAAUUGACCAUGGGGAACAGGGGAAAUGUUGGUCACAGAGGACAAACUUUCAGCUAUAAGAUAAAUAAAUUCUGCUGAUCUAAUGUACAGCAUGGUGAUUUUAGUUAAUAAUACUGUAUUAUAUAUUUGAAAGUUGCUAAGAGAGUAGAUUUUAAGUGUUCUCACCACAAAAAAGAAAUGGUAAUUAUGUGAUGUGAUGAGUGUUAGCCAAUGCCAUGGUGGUAAUCAUUUUGCAAUAUAUAAGUGUAUCAAAUCAGCAUGUUGUACACCUUAAGCUUACACAAUGUUAUAUGCCAAUAAUAUCUCUAUAAAGCUGGAAAAAAAUUAAUUGACCAUAUAUAUGUGUGGGUCUGUUUCUGGACUCCAUUCUGUUCUGUUGAUCUUUGUGCUUAUCCUUUGGCCAAUACCAUGUUGUCUUGAUUACUGUAGCUUUAUAACAAGUGUUGAAAUCUGGUAGUGCAAGUUCUCCAACUUGGUUCUUUUCCAGUGAUUUUAGCAAUUUAGGUCCUUUGCAUUUCCGUAUGACUUUCAGAAUUGAUUAUCCAAUUUUAUACAAAUAAAGCCUGCUGGGAUUUUGAAUGAGUUUGUAUGGACUCUAUAGAUCCUUCGGGAAAUGAUGCCUUACCAAUAUUGUCCCUUAAUCCAUAAUCACCACAUAUCUCUCCAUUUCUUUGGAUGUUUUUUAAUUUCUCUCAGCAAUGUCUGGUGAUUUUUAGUGUACAGGUCUUGCACAAUUUUGGUCAUAAUUAUCCUUAAGUGUUUCAUAUUUUUAGUGCUCUUGUAAAGAGUAUUUUUACAAAUCUCAACUUCCAUUUGUUCAUUACCAGUAUAUAGAAACAAAAUUGAUUUCCAAAAUAUAUUGACCUAUAUCGAAAAACCCUGUUAAACUCACCUUUUAGUUCUAGUAACUUUUUGGUAGAUUCUGUAAAGUUUUCCUUAUAAAUGAUUCAUAUGUCUGUGAUUAAAGACGGUUUUACUUUUUCCUUUCCAAUAUGGCUGCUUUUUAUGUCUUUUUCUUGCCUUACUGCACUGCUAGAACUUUCUGGAACAAUGCUGAACAGAAGUAGUUCAACAAGUAGAAUCAACUUACCUGAUUCCUGAUCUUGCUGGGAAAGCGUAGAAUCUUUUACAUUAAGGAUGGCGCUAGUUGUACGUUUUUCUGCAUCUGUUUUUGAAAUGAUCGUACUUUUUUUCUGGUAGGCUGUUUUCAAAUGUUAAACCAAGCUUAUAUUCCCAAGGUAAACUCCACAUAGAUAUGAUUAUUAUCUCUUUAAAAAACGUUAGCUUUGAAAAACAAACACAUAGAUACAGAGGACAGAUUGGUGGUUACCAGAAGGGAAGGGGGAUGCGGGGAAGGUGAAAUGGGUAAAGGAGGUCAAUUGUAUGGUGAUGGAUGGAAAGUAGACUUUUGGUAAUGAACACCCUGUAUUAUACAUGGAAGUUAAAUUAAAAUGUUGUACACCU
ensembl:lncRNA